AUAACCGUGCGAAGGUAGCAUAAUAAAUUGUUCUCUAAAUAAGGACUAGUAUGAAAGGCACCACGAGGGCUUAACUGUCUCCCUUUUCCAAUUAAUGAAACUGAUCUUCUCGUGAAGGCUUUAAACUUAUCACCAUUUACUUCUUAUUACACCACUGUAUAUAGUAAAAUUUACUUGAUAGUUUUCGGCUGGGGUGACCCUGGAGAAAAACAAAUCCUCCAGGAUGAACGGAAUAAUAAUCCUAAUCAAAGAGCUACAGCUCUAUGAAUCAAAAUAUUGACAGAUUUGAUCCAAUUACUUGAUCAACGAACCAAGUUACCCUGGGGAUAACAGCGCAAUCCAUUUCAAGAGCCCCUAUCGACAAAUGGGUUUACGACCUCGAUGUUGGAUCGGGGUGUCCCAGUGGCGCAACCGCUACUAAAGGUUCGUUUGUUCAACGAUUAAUAACCCCACGUGAUCU
rnacentral:rRNA from 1 species